AGUGUAGGCGGUCUAAAAGUCUGAUGUGAAAACCCGGGGCUCAACCGCGGGAUUGCAUUGGAAACUUUUAGACUAGAGUAUCGGAGAGGCAAGCGGAAUUCCUGGUGUAGAGGUGAAAUUCGUAGAUAUCAGGAAGAACAUCGGUGGCGAAGGCGGCUUGCUGGACGACAACUGACGCUGAGGCUCGAAAGCGUGGGAAGCGAACA
rnacentral:rRNA from 1 species